AAAGCGUGCGCAGGCGGUUUUGUAAGUCUGUCGUGAAAUCCCCGGGCUCAACCUGGGAAUGGCGAUGGAGACUGCAAGGCUAGAAUCUGGCAGAGGGGGGUAGAAUUCCACGUGUAGCAGUGAAAUGCGUAGAGAUGUGGAGGAACACCGAUGGCGAAGGCAGCCCCCUGGGUCAAGAUUGACGCUCAUGCACGAAAGCGUGGGGAGCAAACAGGAUUAGAUACCCGUGU
rnacentral:rRNA from 1 species